AUACGGAGGAUCCGAGCGUUAUCCGGAUUUAUUGGGUUUAAAGGGAGCGUAGGUGGAUAGUUAAGUCAGUUGUGAAAGUUUGCGGCUCAACCGUAAAAUUGCAGUUGAUACUGGCUGUCUUGAGUACAGUAGAGGGGGGCGGAAUUCGUGGUGUAGCGGUGAAAUGCUUAGAUAUCACGAAGAACUCCGAUUGCGAAGGCAGCUCACUGGACUGCAACUGACACUGAUGCUCGAAAGUGUGGGUAUCAAACAGGAUUAGAUACCCUGGUAGUCCACACAGUAAACGAUGAAUACUCGCUGUUUGCGAUAUACAGUAAGCGGCCAAGCGAAAGCAUUAAGUAUUCCACCUGGGGAGUACGCCGGCAACGGUGAAACUCAAAGGAAUUGGCGGGG
rnacentral:rRNA from 1 species